ensembl:lncRNA LOC102554372 uncharacterized LOC102554372
AAGAAAGCCAGGUAUAUGUGUAUAAUCUUAGUACUACUGCUGCUGGCCACAAACAAUGCUGACCUUCAUGUGGGACACUUUGUGUAGUGCAGCCCACAUUGUUGAAACCUCACUGCUGACUGACUGGCUUACACCUGCGUAGCCCUGUGUUCAUCUCAGAUGAAGUCUGAUGUGUGCUAGUGAGUAAGGUCUGAGGCAGCAGAAGAGAGGGUGUGGCGUGCCACACUACCUGGGUCAGAGCUGGCCACACCUGUCGAAAGCAGUUAACAAGUGUCUGGACCAGUGGAGAAGACGCAGGCCUCUGAGCCACAGCGAGGACAAAUCCUGGGACAUUGUCAACAGGAAGAAGCAUGAGCGUCCGUCUGCCAUGAGACGGACGGGUCCUGGAGGAAAGAGACCCAAAAAGAAGAGGGGCCUGGGGCCCAGGAGCCCUGGGGUAGAGGCGGACAGCUUUCCUCGGUCCACAGGGCUGCAGAGGUGGGGGCUAAGCGCAGAUGUUUGCAGCAUCUCUGUCGGCAGUGUUAGCAUUCCGUCUGAGCUCCACCCCCACAGUCACCUGGCUGGGGGAGUUAAAUGCAGAUGUCUGCAGCACAUGGGGAGCACUUUUAUUUAGAAAAAACCAAAAGGAAUUUAAAAGCCUGUGACUACAAUUUUUAGCCUGCAACUAUGAUAAUUUUUUAAAAAAAAGGUUUAGUAUCCAGUGAUAAUUAUAACUGUUACCAAGGCUGGGCUAAUUACUUAUCAGAAUUCUAUCAAUGUGUUCAAGUUUGAACUCUGAAGUCUUAGCACCAUGCCUCGUCUAUAAACCUCAUUUUCAUGUGCCUUGAAUCACUUCCUCAGACCUUUACAACUUACAUUCACACACCUUAAAUGAUUUCCUUGGACCUUUACAAGUUACAUAAAUUUUGAACUUUUUUUUUAAUCUGGAAAUCUCUGGUCAUUUGCCAUGAGACAGAAGGGCUAGACCACUGAGAGCAGUCACUGGAGAUCAAGCUCCUUUAGAUAAAGGAGUAGUAAGAACAGUAAAGCUGCAGUCAGAGCAGCAACGUGAUAGCUUGAUUUGGUUUUUACACUGAAACCUGUUUUGGGAGUUUCUCUUUUUCAGAAAGAGGCUUGACACUCUAGGAAAAGCCACACCUGGUUUUUACAUAUGAAACUAAUUCAGGCUGGCAGAUAACUGAGUUUCAGUUUUAAAACCCUUUUUAUUAAUUUUAAUUAAAAUACUUUAUUCAUUUGUUUUUGUUAGUAUCAGAGGACAAUUUACAGAAAUGGGUCUCUCCUUCCAUGGUGUGGUUCUGG